ACCUGCACGGGCCUUGGAUAGGCCUCCCCCCCUCCUGCUCGGACACGUGUCCCAACCAGCCCUCCCCAGGCCCAGUGAUUCCCUCACUCCGUCGUGGAGGCCUCAUGUCCUUCCCAGACAUCCUGGGAAGGUGGUGCCCAGCAUCCUGGUGAACAUGGGGGACACUGGAUGUGACCGGCAGGGACAUUCCCCUCAGGGGCAGCCACACGCCCAGAUGCUCUGACUCUUCACCACUGUGGACAGUUCCAAACCAGCCAUCCUUGUACAGAUGUGACAGUUAUUGAUUCAUUGCCUCUCAACUCCAAAUCUACCCUUCAUUACCUGCUCUGCAGUAGUAAGAUAGCUCUUUGAAGCAUUUCUCACUUGCACCGAGAACAAUAUUGAGUGAUGGCAGUAGGUGGCGCUGGAGGGAAGCGGCAGGAGGAAGAAACUCCCCUUCCCAGGCCCAGGGUGCUUCUGUUUGCUUCGGUUCCUCUGACUGCACCUGCUGCCAGAGAUGAAUGCGUGGGGACAUUCUCCGCCCUGCCCCAGGACUCUGCAAACCUCAGGCCUCACAUGCCCUGCUGGAGAGCAGACCAUUGACUCCCCUGUGCGCAGGCCUGCUCGCCUCAGCCCUCCGGCUCCCGGUGGCCCUCCAGACACGGGCACAUGAACCCCAGGCUUUCACCACUCUGCCUGCAAGUAGGUUCCUGACUCGGACCCUCCCGGAGCCCUCCCUGCCAGCCUCUCCCGCCAGCACCGCAGAGGGAUAUUUGAUGCUGACCUGGAGACCAUCAGCCAGACCUUACACAUUUUUCAACAAGGUGUGAAUCCCAGCUUGAAGGAGAGGACCCUCUUCCCAUGCGUUCCCUCCCUGGAUACUCUCCUGCCUUAGAAUGAUCUGUAGAGUUCUCUUAGCAUGUCUCCAAUGCUAGGGUAAUAAUUUUUAAAAUUAAAUUUUCCUUAUUCAAA